rnacentral:rRNA from 1 species
CCCUUAGAUGUCCUGGGCCGCACGCGCGCUACACUGACAUGUUCAACAAGCCUCCUAGUUCGACAGGAUUUGGGAAAUCUUUGAACGCAUGUCGUGAUAGGGAUAGAUCAUUGCAAUUAUUGAUCUUGAACGAGGAAUUCCUAGUAAACGCGAGUCAUCAGCUCGCAUUGAUUACGUCCCUGCCCUUUGUACACACCGCCCGUCGCGCCUACCGAUUGAAUGUUUCGGUGAAGAUUCCGGAUAGGACUUUUUUGAUUUAUUUCAAUUCUGUCUUAAAAGCUAUCUAAACCUCAACAUUUAGAGGAAGGUGAAGUCGUAACA